CUAGAACAAGUGGAAAAAAUCCGUAAAGGGAAGAAUCAAGUUUCUUAGAAGGAUUCAAGCUUGUUUUCGAGGUAGGUGAUGGUUUGAUUUCAUGUUUUGUGUAAUGUAUGUUAGCAAUUGCUUCAUUGUAAAGCAUGUAUGUAUGCGAAUGUUGCACUAUUGAUCACACCUAAUGCAAAUGAGUAUGAAUGAAUGAUUGUAUGCCAUGAAUCAAUACUUGAUUGUAUGAUUUUGAGAUGUACAUUGUGAUUGUGAUUGUGGCUUGUUGAAUGGAUCGUGUGUUACGGUCCAACAUACUAACUGGGAUCGGAUGUCACGUACCGACAUACAUAUUGGAACGGGUGUCACAUUUCGAUACACUAAUUGGGAUCGAGUACCACGUUCCAGUGCACUAACAGUUUGGGUAUGGAUUCAAUGAGAGGACCAUUGAAUUGUCAUAAUUACUUGUUAAAGAGAAUGUGAAAUUGUAAGUUGUUCAUGAUUGAUCAUAGAUAUAUGUGUUAUAUUCUGUGCAUGUCAUGUUUACUUAUGUAUGUUCGCUUACUGGAAUAGCCGCGUGAUCCUACCAGUACCUGUGGUUGUGUACUGAUACUGCACUUGCUCAUUCUUUGUUACUUGCUCUUUCUUUGUUGAGUACAGGGCAACUUCAGGUGGCUACUGAUAGACCUCAUUUAGGAGAUCACUGAUCGAGAUCGAAUUUAAGGGUGAACCAACUCUUCCAGGCAUCCAUGAUUUCUCCUUUUGUUCAGUCCCACUUGCUUGAACCUAGAUUAGUACUUUAGAUGUUCAGUUGUUUAGCUUUCGGGGUUGUACCCCUUUUUCCUUAGACUUAUGGUUUGUUAGAGUUUUGGUACACUGAUUUUCAGUUUCUAGGGAAUAUUUCCGUAAUGUUUUGAUAGUCGUUGUUAGACUUUUGGAGUUUAUGGGAACUCUACUUUAUUUCUACAUUUAAACUUAUUUCCG
rnacentral:lncRNA from 1 species